CCACGACCUUGGUGUUGCAAAUCUGUUUCAUUAUACUUUUUAAUCAUUUACAAUACAUUAAUGAAUUUGGCAGAUGCAUAUAUCCAAAAGAAAUUUACAUUGCAUUCACUUCACUGUAUUCUUUAUGAAAUCUGUUCAUGCUUUUCCUGGGAAUCGAACCCACGACCUUGGUGUUGCAAAUCUGUUUCACUAUACUCUUUGAACAUUUACAUUCAUGCAUUUGGCAGAUGUUUGUAUCCAAAGUGACUUUCAUUUAUUUGAAUGAUUAGUUCAUGCUUUCCCUGGGAAUCGAACCCAUGAUCUUGGUGUUGCGAGCACCUGCUCUACUGUUUGAGCUUCAGGAAGGCAAUCUCAUGAUUUCAGACCCUGUUUUAACUCUGUCAUGAUGAUUAGGAGCAUGUUAUAUUUGACUGAAACGUGUGAUGCAAUCGUGUUUGAGAUAUGACGAGUGUUUGAGCUCUGCUGCGGCCGGAGUCCUUGACCCGUCGAAUGAAAGCGCAGCGCUGGAAUACCUGCGUCAUACGGGCAUGUGGCAAGAUCUGCUUGACCUGUCGAUGUGACGAUUACAGAAUCAUGAUCCACUGAUGUCUGUGCCGUUGAUCUACAGAGCUGAACACUGUCUGGAAAACUUACACAUGCUUCACAGGAUCAUUCCUGUUCAAUGAGCUUCAGUUCAGAAUGAUUUUGAUUUAGCAGCAUGUGAAGGAUGAUGAGCGUUUCAGACUGAAGAAUUGCUGCAUUGACAUCAGAACAGUAGGAAUGUCUGGAGUCAAGGAGUUGUCGGGAACAACGGCUCGUUCUCAGUCAGUCUGACCAGAGAGAUAUUCUCAUCUCCAGCAUGAGUGCAGUGAAGUGACAUGUGACGUGUGUCUUACCUCCAAUACAUCCUGCAACAAAGUCCAGAGCCAUUCCUGAGGUGAUGAUGAUGAAGAUGAAGAGCCGGUGGUCUGUCCCUCUGGUCUUCUGCUCGGUGUGUUGGUCUGCGCUCACCAGCAGCUGCUGCCAACGGGGCCGCUAUUUUUACUGAAUGAAGUUGAUAUGAAGGGGAAAGUCCAUCUGUGACCAAUAGAAACUCAAGGAUGAAGAAACACCCCCAUCAUCAUCAUCAUCAUCAUCAUACACGUCUGUGCUUACAGACACGAUUUACUGCCAGAGAGAGUAAAUCAACUCAUAAUGCUGCAGGAUCUGAUUUCCAGUGCAGUAGAACUUAAUAUGUAGUUAUUAUCGACUAAACUGUUACAUUAAAUAAAAUAAACUUUCUUUCCAUUCAAACUCAUUUAACAUAAUUAUACAAAUAAACAUUUCCUUUAAAGACA